rnacentral:misc_RNA from 1 species
GAUGAAGAACGUAGCGAACUGCGAUAAGUAAUGUGAAUUGCAGAAUUCAGUGAAUCAUCGAGUCUUUGAACGCACAUUGCGCCCCCUGGCAUUCCGGGGGGCAUGCCUGUCCGAGCGUCAUUGCUGCCCUUCAAGCCCGGCUUGUGUGUUGGGUCGUCGUCCCCCCCGGGGGACGGGCCCGAAAGGCAGCGGCGGCACCGCGUCCGGUCCUCGAGCGUAUGGGGCUUUGUCACCCGCUCGAUUAGGGCCGGCCGGGCGCCAGCCGGCGUCUCCAACCUUCUAUUUUACCAGGUUGACCUCGGAUCAGGUAGGGAUACCCGCUGAACUUAAGCAUAUCAAUAAGCGGGGA